rnacentral:rRNA from 1 species
UGCGUAGGCGGCUAGGUAAGUCACGUGUGAAAGGCCGGGGCUCGACCCCGGAUCUGCAUGUGAGACUGUCUGGCUCGAGCAUGGUAGAGGCGGGCGGAAUUCCUGGUGUAGCGGUGGAAUGCGUAGAGAUCAGGAAGAACACCGGUGGCGAAGGCGGCUCGCUGGGCCAUUGCUGACGCUGAGGCACGAAAGCGUGGGGAGCAAACAGGAUUAGAUACCCUGGUAGUCCACGCCCUAAACGAUGGACACUAGGCGUCGGGGGGAGCGACCCUCCCGGUGCCGUCGCUAACGCAAUAAGUGUCCCGCCUGGGGAGUACGGCCGCAAGGCUGAA